rnacentral:rRNA from 1 species
UACGUAGGGUGCAAGCGUUGUCCGGAAUUAUUGGGCGUAAAGAGCUCGUAGGCGGUUUGUCGCGUCGAAUGUGAAAACCCGGGGCUCAACUCCGGGCCUACAUUCGAUACGGGCAGACUAGAGUUCGGUAGGGGAGACUGGAAUUCCUGGUGUAGCGGUGAAAUGCGCAGAUAUCAGGAGGAACACCGGUGGCGAAGGCGGGUCUCUGGGCCGAUACUGACGCUGAGGAGCGAAAGCGUGGGGAGCGAACAGG